UCGUGGGUUUAAUGGGGCUUCCUGCAUUUUAUCAGGCAGCGCUCUCCAGCCAUCCUCCUGGCCCCUGCCAAAUGUCCGCGUGCAACAUCAGGGGUGUAAGGGUACUCCUUAAACCACCAGAGCUCUCAGCCAUCGACACGAGUCUUCAUUCAUGGGCAGUACGCUGGCUUCAGUAACGGCCCAGGAUCCUUGGGAAUUUGCCUGACGGAAUCUUGGCUCGUGCUCUGGAACAGUCCAGUGCGGCCGGUCCUGCCAUCUGCUUUGGAGAGAGUCUCCUCUCACUUUAAAGGGCCAAUUCCCUUAGCUUGGAGCUUCGAGAUAGAGACAGCCAGCGAGAGAGGGAACACAAGCAGGCGGAGUGGGAGAGGAAGAAG